UGCCGCGUGUGUGAAGAAGGCCUUUUGGUUGUAAAGCACUUUAAGCAGUGAAGAAGACCUAACGGUUAAUACCCGUUAGCGAUGACAUUAGCUGCAGAAUAAGCACCGGCUAACUCUGUGCCAGCAGCCGCGGUAAUACAGAGGGUGCAAGCGUUAAUCGGAAUUACUGGGCGUAAAGCGAGCGUAGGUGGCUUGAUAAGUCAGAUGUGAAAUCCCCGGGCUUAACCUGGGAACUGCAUCUGAUACUGUCAGGCUAGAAUAGGUGAGAGGAAGGUAGAAUUCCAGGUGUAGCGGUGAAAUGCGUAGAGAUCUGGAGGAAUACCGAUGGCGAAGGCAGCCUUCUGGCAUCAUAUUGACACUGAGGUUCGAAAGCGUGGGUAGCAAACAGGAUUAGAUACCCUGGUAGUCCACGCCGUAAACGAUGUCUACUAGUCGUUGGGUCCCUUGAGGACUUAGUGACGCAGCUAACGCAAUAAGUAGACCGCCUGGGGAGUACGGCCGCAAGGUUAAAACUCA
rnacentral:rRNA from 1 species